rnacentral:rRNA from 1 species
UACAGAGGUCCCAAGCGUUGUUCGGAUUCACUGGGCGUAAAGGGUGCGUAGGCGGUCGGGUAAGUCUGAUGUGAAAUCUCACAGCUUAACUGUGAAACUGCAUUGGAUACUAUCCGGCUCGAGGAAUGGAGGGGAGACUGGAAUACUUGGUGUAGCAGUGAAAUGCGUAGAUAUCAAGUGGAACACCAGUGGCGAAGGCGAGUCUCUGGACAUUUCCUGACGCUGGAGGCACGAAAGCCAGGGAGCAAACGGG